UACGUAGGGGGCAAGCGUUGUCCGGAUUUAUUGGGCGUAAAGGGCUCGUAGGCGGUUUGUCGCGUCGGGAGUGAAAACCUCGGGCUUAACUCGGGGCUUGCUUUCGAUACGGGCAGACUAGAGGUAUGCAGGGGAGAACGGAAUUCCUGGUGUAGCGGUGAAAUGCGCAGAUAUCAGGAGGAACACCGGUGGCGAAGGCGGUUCUCUGGGCAUGAUCUGACGCUGAGGAGCGAAAGUGUGGGGAGCGAACAGG
rnacentral:rRNA from 1 species